GACGAACGCUGGCGGCGUGCUUAACACAUGCAAGUCGAGCGGAGCGGCGAACGGGUGAGUAACGCGAGAGUAACUGCCCCCCUCCAUGGGAUAACAGUUGGAAACGGCUGCUAAUACCGGAUAGUGGGGGAUGAAUAGCGUCAUAUCAGCUUGUUGGUGGGGUAGUGGCAUACCAAGGAGACGACGGGUAGCGGGCCUGAGAGGGCGGCCGGCCACAUUGGUCUGAGAUACGGCCCCAAAUCCUAAGGGAGGCAGCAGUGGGGAAUAUUGCACUAUGGGGGAAACCCUGAUGCAGCAACGCGCGUGCGGGAUAACGGUCUUCGGGUUGUAAACCGCGUUCAGCCAUGACGCGGUAGUGGCAGAAGAAGCACCGGCUAACUACGUGCCAGCCGCCGCGGUAAUAC
rnacentral:rRNA from 1 species